UAGGGAAUAUUGCAAAAUGGGCGAAAGCCCGAUGCAGCAACGCCGCGUGGGCGAUGAAGGCCUUCGGGUCGUAAAGCCCUUUUUGAGGGGAUGAGGAAGGACAGUACCCUCAGAAUAAGCCUCGGCUAACUACGUGCCAGCAGCCGCGGUAAAACGUAGGAGGCGAGCGUUAUCCGGAUUUACUGGGCGUAAAGCGCGUGCAGGCGGAUUGGAGAGUUGGAUGUGAAAGCUCCCGGCUUAACUGGGAGAGGUCGCUCAAUACUUCCAGUCUUGAGUGCAGUAGAGGGAAGUGGAAUUCCGGGUGUAGUGGUGAAAUGCGUAGAUAUCCGGAGGAACACCAGUGGCGAAAGCGGCUUCCUGGACUGUAACUGACGCUCAGACGCGAAAGCUAGGGUAGCAAACG
rnacentral:rRNA from 1 species